AAUGUUUUAACUCGGAAGGAUCUGGAUCACAGGUCAUUUCAUCUGAGAUCAACCCGCACGCAACAGCUGGAAUCACUUACUGAUUCACACAAGGAAGGACACAAGUCAUCAGCCGUUUCCUCAAGUUUACGUCAGAGCGGAGAUGAUGUGAGAGGCUGACCAGAAGGAAACAUAGCGAGACAGUCUCCGCUUGGACUGGCUGAGGAAAGUCUCCUAAAUGGCCCUGGAGAUGUUCUGACUGACUUUGGAGGCUUUUUGGACUGUUUUAUGCCCUCUAUUUAAAGAAGACUUAAUUCUGUAUGUUCAGUCUGUAUGAUAAGUGAAUAAGUGAAUAAAAAGCUUUUGUUUUUAUGUGA